UACGAAGGGGGCUAGCGUUGCUCGGAAUCACUGGGCGUAAAGCGCACGUAGGCGGCUUUCUAAGUCAGGGGUGAAAUCCUGGAGCUCAACUCCAGAACUGCCUUUGAUACUGGAGAGCUAGAGUCCGGAAGAGGUGAGUGGAACUGCGAGUGUAGAGGUGAAAUUCGUAGAUAUUCGCAAGAACACCAGUGGCGAAGGCGGCUCACCUGGUCCGGUACUGACGCUGAGGUGCGAGAGCGUGGGGAGCAAACAGG
rnacentral:rRNA from 1 species